AUUGAACGCUGGCGGCGUGCUUAACACAUGCAAGUCGAACGGUGAAAGCGGAGCUUGCUCCGCUGGAUCAGUGGCGAACGGGUGAGUAACACGUGGGCAACCUGCCCCUGACUUCGGGAUAACUCCUCGAAAGAGGUGCUAAUACCGGAUACGAAUCCUGCAGGCAUCUGCGGGAUUGGAAAGUUUUUCGGUCAGGGAUGGGCCCGCGGCCUAUCAGCUUGUUGGGGAGGUAGGGGCCCACCAAGGCGACGACGCGUAGCCGGCCUGAGAGGGCGACCGGCCAAACUGGGCCUGAGACACGGCCCAGACUCCUACGGGAGGCAGCAGUGGGUAAUAUUGCGCAAUGGGCGAAAGCCUGACGCAGCAACGCCGCGUGAGGGAUGACGGCCUUCGGGUUGUAAACCUCUUUCAGCAGGGAAGAAGCGAAAGUGACGGUACCUGCAGAAGAAGCACCGGCUAACUACGUGCCAGCAGCCGCGGUAA
rnacentral:rRNA from 1 species